GUGAUAUAUUUCAUUGUGAAUUUGUUGCAAUAAGUUUCUUUUCACUCAAAUAUUGCUUUAAAUUAAAAAAAGAAUAAAAAAUCAGAAAAAAAUUUCAAAAAAAUUUUUCACUCGAAAAUUUCAUAAGGGGUACCCCUUGCCAUUUUUUUGAGAAAUUUAGCAAAAUUUAAAAAUUUGUUUUAUUUUAAUGCGAAAUUGUUGCAAUUAGUUCCUUUUCACUCAAACAAUGCUUUAAAUUAAAAAAAAGUAAAAAAUAAUGAAAAAAAUUGAAAAAAUCUAUAAAUCUGUCAAUCCACUAAGGCUCAUUUUCGCACCAAGUUUUGCCUAUAACUCGGUCGGUAUCCAACGGAUCGCCAAUCUUUAACUUGUGGUCGAUAGAUGGCAUCAAUGGCUACAUUUUCUUCGUGGACGGCCAUGCCCUCAGAUGUCUGUGCCAGAAGUUAUGCGAGGAACCAAGUUCCUUACCCUGUUUGAGAAAAUGUAAAAUUUUCCUCAUUUUUGCACCAAAUUUUGCCUAUAACUCGGUCGGUAUCUAACGGAUCUCCAAUCUUUUUCUGGGGUCGAUAGAUGGCAUCAAUGGCUACAUUUUCUUCUUGGACGGCCAUGCCCUCAGAUGUAUGUGCCAGAAGUUAUGCGAGGAGCCAAGUUCCUUACCCUGUUUGAGAAAAUGUAAAAUGUUCCUCAUUUUUCUGCAAUUCAGCAAAAUUUUUAAAUGUGAUAUAUUUCAUUGCGAAUUUG